rnacentral:rRNA from 1 species
UCGACCUGAGCUCCAGCAAKAUUACCCGCUGAACUUAAGCAUAUCA